ACCAUGGCCUGGGCUCUGCUGCUCCUCACCCUCCUCACUCAGGGCUCCGGUUCCUGGGCCCAGGCUUCCCUGACCCAGCCGCCCUCAGUGUCUGCGGCUCUGGGCCAGUCGGUCACCAUCACCUGUGCCGGAAGCAGCAGUGAUGUUGGUGCUUAUAAUUUUGUCUCCUGGCUCCAACAACAACCAGGCAUGGCCCUUAAAAUCCUGAUUUAUGAUGUCAGCAGUCGGCCCUCGGGGAUCCCUGACCGCUUCUCUGGCAGCAAGUCCGGCAACACGGCCUCCCUGACCAUCUCUGGGCUCCAGCCUGAGGACGAGGCGGAUUAUUACUGUAGUUCAUAUAGGGGUGGUGGCAGUAACCACAGUGGUGCUAGUUCGUGGGGAAUGACAGCUUCUGAUGGGGAGCGGCAUCGAAACGUCACCGUGCUCAGCGUGGAGUAG